UACGGAGGGGACUAGCGUUGUCCGGAAUUACUGGGCGUAAAGCGCACGUAGGCGGAUUUGCAAGUCAGGGGUGAAAUCCCGGGGCUCAACCUCGGAACUGCCUUUGAUACUGCAAAUCUCGAGUCCGGAAGAGGUGAGUGGAAUUCCUGGUGUAGCGGUGAAAUGCGCAGAUAUCAGGAGGAACACCAAUGGCGAAGGCAGCACUCUGGGACGUGACUGACGCUGAGACGCGAAAGCGUGGGGAGCAAACAGG
rnacentral:rRNA from 1 species